rnacentral:lncRNA from 1 species
GAGGAAGGAAGGGCUGUGCAGUAAGUGACUGUUCUCACAGCUGUGAUCACGAGCCAUUGUCAUUCAAGUGCCCACCUUGUCUUGCUGUGUACUCAUUGUCUUCUAUCAAUCGGGCCAAUCCGAAGUCAGCAAUCUUGCAUAUGAGUCCAUUCCCCACUAGAAUGUUUGCUGAUCGCAGAUCUCUAUGGAUAUAAUUCAUGCGCUCGAUGUAAGCCAUUCCUGCAGCCACCUGUGGAAACCCAGGGAACAGGACCUGUGCUGCCAUGUCCACAAGAUUUGGUAAUUUCAGAGCUCUUCCUUCUCCAUCUUUUAAGAAAUCCAGUAAACUUCCUAUGAACAAAACAUAAAAUCAUUUCAAUUU